CUACUACUCCCUCCGUCCCAAAAUUCUUGUCUUAGAUUUGUCUAGAUACGGAUGUAUCAAGAACAUCCGUAUUUAGACAAAUCUAAGACAAUAAUUUUGGAACAGAGGGAGUACAUU
rfam:Triticum urartu cultivar G1812 contig316964, whole genome shotgun sequence.